rnacentral:lncRNA from 1 species
CUUAAUUAAAUCAGUUGCUACAGUUGGUUAAAUUGAAUAGCUAUCUUCAGACUCUGAAAACUCAUAAUUCUUGAAGCUCCUGUCCAGCAGCCUUAGGAGGUUCAAGGAAUUUGAUUUGCCAAGAAUUAUGUGCCCCAUGAAACCACAGGAGCAAAUUCUGCAGAACAGAUGACAAGGGAUAGAGUAUUGCUUCUGAAGAGCUCAGACCCUUAAUGAGUUCAAGCUCUGCCUUCUUGUCGCUAAUUCCACCUUAGCUUGUCAGAAGAGAUUUGGCUGCUGGAAGAAUAUAACUGUGUUUCCACUGGAUACUUAUUCAGUACCUAUGCUGUGUGACAUGCUAUUUUGGCUACAGGAUUGAAAUCUUGUUUAAUUCCAAAACCUUUGUUUUCAACCAUGGCAAAUGAUGCUUCCCUUGUACACUGACCUUUUCCCGAAUACUCACAUGUUGCUAAGCACUAUGAUCUUAUUGAAUUAGAUGGGAAGAUGUACUGCUUUGUCUCAUGAAUAACUACCAUAAGAAGCUACCUGAAUGACCCCAUUGAUAUUAUUCAGCUAAUUCAU